AUACACACUUCUUCUCCGUUGAUCAAUUAGUCUAUAGUUACCCAGCAAUCAUCACCAUCUACUGAGAGCCAUGUCUGUGCCCAGGGCAGUGCUAAUGCUGUUCUCACAACACUUUUGGUCUUGGCUGAGAAGUAGAAAACACACAGAGAGAACUUGGGUCCUUUGCUUGUGUGCAGUUGGCCCUGGCCCUGGCUGCAUCAAUGUCCUUCUUGCUUUCCCUGAUCCCAGCCUUAGUCACAGUUCAGUGACUCACCCUCCAGGAGCUGUUGGGAAGUACAGAUGUUGAGGCGUGUCCUUUUCUUGCAGGCCGGGACACCGUGCUUCUCCUAUAAGGCAGAAACUGACUUGGCAUUUGAACCAGUUUAAGGCACGAGGAGGAAGUGUUGACACAAAGCAGAUCACAUAUUAGAGACCAUCCCAAGGUCCCUUGUGACCCUUGCAUGUGCUUGUCAUUUUCAAGUUGAGUAGGGUGGUGGGCAGGUUUUUGACCUUGAGUAUGAACUCUGACAUUCUAUCUCUGCCCCACUGUUACUGGGUAUGUGGCUGGCUGGGCAGGAUACUCACUGCCCGCUCUGAAGCUUGACCUCUUCCUUGGCAUAGGGUUUAAAUGAGAUAAUGAUAAGGAGAGGUCUGGUGCCUCACAAAUAUCCAAUAAUUAGACAAAUGGGAUAUAUAUAUAUAUAUAUAUAUAUAUAUAUAUAUAUAUAUACACAUAUAUAUAUUUAAAUAUAAAUAUAAAUAAAUAUAUAUAAAUAAAUGUAGGCUUGGCUUUUGUCAUCAGCUGUCACCAGGACAGAGUUCUUUCUUGGGCUUUCCACCAUCUCUGAUAUCUUCUUCUUUUUCUUUCCUCCUAAGUCCACCCGCAAAUAUGAAACACGUAGACACAAACUCCCUACAGAAAUGCUUGUGAGGGUUGUUAACUCAGCCAUUUUCCAUUAGCAAAAUUAAAUAGUCCAGAGACAUCUGGGAUGCAUGCUUCGGGAGUCUGCUCUGUGCUGGCGCUUUAUUUUCAAGCACGAUGUCCUUGAAAAAAAAAAAAAGGAGGGCUCCUGAGCCUGCUGGGACUUUCUCUGCCCCCUCUCUCAUUUUUGCUCCCGAAAAGCACAGCCGAGGAACACUUGGGUGGGCUGGUAAUGAAAAUAUAACCCUGGCUGGGGACAACUUUCUCUCUGCCAGCUCUCAGGCCUGUGCAAGGAGCCCUGAAUCCCUAGGGCAGGGAUCUGGUCUGGGAGUGGCUCCUGGAACCUUAGUGUGCCAUGGGGGAGGAGCAUCUAGGCUGCACUGGACACCCCGCUGAGAAGGGGUCAUUCGGGUGAAGCCUUUUUCCAUUAGAGGCUUGUAGACAUUUACCCUUGGGUCUCUGCUCUAGCGUUCUCCAUGCCCAGGCAGAUCUGAAGGGCUACAACAGCAUGUGUCAGCUGAGAUAUGACUCAGCUAACAGAGUGGGCCUCCUGGGGCUCUGGAUGAUGCAAAUCCGCCUGGCGAUUCUGCCCUGUGCUCGUGGGAGAGGAGAUGGGAAAACAGGAAAGAUGCUGUCGUCUGAUGAAACCAUUGACCCUCAUCAGCCUCGUGCCUCAACCCUCAGAGGGGCUGCUUCAAGGAAAGGACCAAAAGGAACACCCAUUGUGUAAGCCGAGCUUCCUAAGUUUUUGAUAAAGAAGACUUGAGAGGGAAGACUUCUGAGUAAGCCCUGGGAAAAACAGAUCUUCCUGUGUGACAGGGUUUUUGUAAGGCGGAGCUCAGCCACUGACUAGCCAAGACACUCUGAGAGUUCACGUAGCCUCUCUAUGCCUCAGUUUCUUCCGUGGUAAUUUCAGGGUAGCAGAAAUCUCCAUAUCCAAGAUUGCUUUGCAAGUAAAUGAAUUAAGAGAUGAAAUCAUUUAUGAAAGCGCCCAGAAGACAACAAGCAACAUCAUUAUGUUGAGACCAUUAUACUAAUAGAAUAAAAUGAUGAACUAAACAAGGCCUUUCAAAAGGUUUCAUUUACCCAUAGACCCUGCAGACGCCAGACAAAGAAUACAGUGAAGUGAAUGAAAAUAUUCACUCUGUUUAAGACCUUCAGAUUCUGGUAAAGGAAAUACACUAAGAAACAAUCAAUAAUGAUAAAAUCAGUAAAGAAGAUGGAUUCAAGGUUAAUCAUGGUGAUCGUUAAACUUCUGUGUCUGCUUGGCAGGGUCACUGGGUGCCCAGUUGUUUGGUGACCUUACUGUGAAGUUCCCUAAGAGAAUAUGUUGGGAGGAGAUUAGCGUUUGCAUUGAUGGACGGGAGAAGCAGUUUGCUUUUUAACUCAUGGAACCAAAUGAAACCUGAACAGAAUAAAAAGAGAAAAUUCCUCUUGCCUCACUGCCCUGGAAACUGGACACAGGCUUUCCCCUUGCCUUCCAAUCUCAAGAUGAGAAACUGGCUUUUUCUCAGCAUCUUGCCAAAGUCUCAUGUCAGUGACUUGAAUCCCUCGGCCCUCCCCUUAGAAGACAACACAACAGAAUCUGGUUGCCUGGUGAGACAGCAGGUCAAACUAAGGGGUCAACCAGGAGUCAUAUAGAUAGCUCAUUCAGAACACUAGACUCUGAAGGGGAAAGACAGUGUUGGAUACAGGAGGGAGCUGUGACCUCGGGGGAAGGGUGAGAUGUUUUUAAGGCUAGAUGGAAAGGGGAAGUACAGGAAAGGGAGCAUGAAAAGACGAGCAUGGUUGUCAGUGGCAUCUUAAGGUACCCAUGGCAUUGGAAGCCUGGAUCCUUGAUCGGGUUUGUCUGAGACCAGAGGGACCAUGUGACUAGUCUUUUUCUGACCAGGAGGAAAGGCAACAAGGAUAGGAAGGCCCCCAGGUGAUUGAUGGAGACGGUAUCAGAGCAUUGGGAAAUUCCUACUAGACAGCUUCUUGCUCCUCUGAGCAGUGGAUGCCAGGUUAUCUGCUAAUGUGAGGGCCACGGAGUUCAAGCAUGAGAGGCGUGAACAGAAUAUAGGGUAUAGGGAUGUGGGGGAGGGGUCAUGGUGCCCUUGGGGGAAAGGAGGAAGGACUACACUGAAGGGUGGAGGCUUGGACAAUGUCAUGCAUAUGGUCAUGGCUUCCCCAGGAAGAGACUUAGGUGAUGAUAUGAUAUGACUUUUCCUCUCUCCCAGCUUCCUAGCCUGUCACAUAUGAGCAAACUGAGGGCCAGAGAGGACUGUGGUUUCAGAAGCAUGAAGCUGUCAACCAACAGGAAAGCCUGCCACAAAUCUAUCUGGGUUGCCCGGCUCUUGGAUUCUUGGCUAUAAGUUGUGAUGUAUUGUUUAUGAUCUAAUAAAGCCACUGGAGAUGAGUUUGCAAAGCCAGCCACACUAGUUAGCUAUAGAAACUACUUGGUGGAGGCACAUACCUUUCAUCCCAGGGCUCAGGAUUAAGAGGCAGACGAAUCUCUAAGGUUCAAGGCCACCCAGGGCUACAUGAGAUUGAAUCAGUCUAAAAGGGUAACAGAGCUCAUGACUUUAAUCCUAUCAUUAGAGAGGUAUAAAAGAUAGGAGCAGAAUCUACAGUAAUCAGUCUCAGGACUCUCUAACCACGCUGAGGAGAGGCAGCAGGAUCAGCCCUUUCAGCCUGAGGUAGAUGUAAGAGGUAGUGGCUUGGCUGCUUUGCUUUUCUGAUCUUUGGUGGCUUUAUUAGAUCAUAAACAAGGUAUUAUCACAGCUAUAGGCCAUAGAGUGUGAGCAUGGGGCAUUUCUUUGAAAGGGAAAUUGAUGUCAUGACCAGAAAAGCAGAGGACAAUAUUGGAAAGUCAAAUUAAAAUAUCAAAGUACUCAGAUGCCCACUUUAUAGGAGAAUCAAGCUUGUUGAGACAUUGAGAUUUUUGGACUCCUUUCAGGCAAGGACUUCCAAAUGCUGUCCUGGACUCACAGGACACCUGGGGUGCUGGGGCAAACUGACCAAGCAGACUCCAAAAGUCGUGAAUAACCCUGAAAGCCAGCAGCUCUGGGCCCCUCCAUAUCCACCAGGGGUGGUAUCUGACUCACUGUUAGGAGGCUACGAUUUUUGUGGCUUUUGUAUUACUUCAUCUCUAAGAUUCCAAGGGGGGGGGGCUACAAAACCAGUAAUGACAAUUUGCUCUUUAACUCCAUCAUCGUAGUGUAGGGACAGUUAAUGGAUAGUGUAUUUAUCCAUUCAGCUGCCAUAGCAAAAAUACCACAGACUUAGUGGCUUAUAAACAAAAAUUUAAGAGGCUUCCCAUUCUAAAACCAAGAUGUUAGCUGCCCAGUAAGGCAGGCACCUUAAAGUACACCUUCAAAGUGUCUUCCUUCCUCUUGCUUUUCCUGCUAAAACAACUGAGUAUAUGCUCAGGGACAUAAAUAUCCCAAUCUGCUAUUUUUAACCUUUUCAAUGCAUGGCCUUGAGUUUACACACUCUCCAAAGACUCUACUCUUUCCUUCUCAAACUGUGACCAGAAGCUGAGGGUGACCAGGAAUGUGACCUUAACUGAGUAUGCUCAGGGAUGUGCCCAGGUCUGAAAUGGUUCCCCAAAGAAUUUGCAUAGGCUUUCUAAAUAGAAUCCCCAUGACUCCCUUGUUUGAGGACUUCGUUUUGGAAAUGACUCUUGAGCCCUCCUUCGUUCAGGUAAUGCAUCUUUCUCCAGUUGGUUCUUUUGUUUCUUUGUUUUGUUUUGCUUUUUUGGCCAUUGGCUUUGUUCUCCCCUAGAUGUGAGCAUAUAGCCUUAGGUCACAAAGGCUACUAGAAUAAUUAUCUAUUGAGGAUCCCCACCCUCUUUCUGGUUCACAGAUGAAGCAAUCUUUCUCUAAAAAGUUAAUUAAUUUUCAUUGUUUGAGAAUUUUAAUUAAAUCAGCAUUUAGUCACCAACCAAUAAGAGAAACAUGUGUCCACAGCAUACAGAAGGACGUCCCCCAUCAACAGCCUUUUUCUGGGGCACUAAUUCUGUUGCAUUCACGUAACCUCUAUCCACAUGGCCUUAUUCUUUCCCAGUGACCACACCUUUUAAUACAAUCACCCUGGGGGCUAGGUGUCAACAUUCAGUUUUAUGGACAUACAGACUCUAGGAAAGAGCAAAGAACAAACGAGGGUAUCCGUGUGUAAUGCAUCCUCUCUGUGCAGAGGUUUCUCAUUGCUUUAGGGAAAGGACAAGAGUCACUUUCCUACACUGGUGGUAUACAGAAGCCAAGGGCAAAUACCGGGUCAGGUUCUAGAGUAAAUACUCUGGACAAAGCCAUCGGACUGUGUUGUAAAAUGUUGCAGAAUUUGGUGAUGUAGGCAGUUUGAAGUGGGGACAGAUCAGUGCUCUAGGUAGCUGGGCAGAUGAAGUUAAAUACCAGCAGGUUCCAGCAGGCACAAGACAAUGGUUCAAUUUAUCAGCAACAGACUUUGCCUGAGGCUGGGCUUCUAUGUAUGCUUGAAAGUAUGCUGCUGAGGCAAGCAGAGCACACACAAAAAAGGGUAGGAACAGAAUGGACAUAUGGUAGAUUCUUGUAAAAACGAAAUAAGGCUGUUAGACAAAUUAUCUUCUUGCAUAACAAUUCCCCUUUCCUCUUCUCCCACCCCCUAGACAUAAAGUUAAUGUUACGUUUCCAUUCCUACAGAGAAACUUACUGGCUAAGUCUCACUAACAAAAUAAGUCUAGAAAGAAAACAUAUAGGACUAGAAAGAAUCUUUGGGAUUACCUGCAUUAACAUCUCAAUUUAUAGGAGAAAACUACAAGACCCGGUGACAGAGGUACCCCGCUCUCCUCUUUGACUGAGAAGUAGUUCUGAGAAAACAUCUGUAUUCUCAUCAGUACAUUAUCUCUUGGGGCAGGUUCUUGCUGUUUCUUUCUAGGGAAGGAUGGUAUGAAACAGAGCCUAUCUAAUGGACAAGGAAUCAUAACUGAGUCCCAAUCCCAACUGUUCUCACUGUGUAGAUCCUGGACAACUCACUACUUGGAAAACGUGUAAUAUUUAGGGUGGUUAUAAGGAUGCAAUCAGUUCAGGUUAAAAACAAUGCUCCAUUAAAAUAACUUGCUCAAGAAAUUUCAAUUAUGAUGGUACCGACCAAAAAAAUUUAAACAGAUAAUUAAGGAAUGGAGUGGAGAAUAUGUCCAAAAAAAGAAUACAUCACAAACAAGUUGGACUCAUUGAAGGUAUGCAAGAAAAGCCAGCUCAAUAUCAAGAAAGAUCACGGCCCAUUAUAGCAACAGAUUAGCGGGCAAGAAAGAUUGUAUCAGUAGAUGUUAUUAUAAUCAGCAUUUUGUAAAUGAGGUACUCUCUUAAAAUAUUUCUUUCCUUGGGCCUGGCACAUAGUAAGUGGUCAAGUGGUAGUAGCUGUUAGUAACCAGGCACUAUGACCGGUCUGCACCGGUAGGCUACUCAAAGACUGAAGGUAGAGGUUACCGCUUGGACUGUUUGCUAGGCUGGAUUUCCAAACAAAGCUGAUCAAUUGGACAGUGUGGAGGAAAUAAAUGUUCUAAUGUUCUGACUUUAUAUGUUCAUCCCACCUCAUUUCUCAGGCUCAAUAUUGUUUUUAACUUUGUUAAGACAAUAGUUCUGCAUCUAUGAAAUGGGACUGAGGCUUACGAGGAGCUGGCAAAGCAGCCAUUGUGCCAGCUCUGGGCCAAUUUUCCACACAGCAAUUAUUUAAAUGUGUUCAGGUCCCCUGGUAGGAACCUCCGUUUUGUUUCACUUUGUCCAGGUGCCAGCAGGAAUGCCUCCAUGGCAGAUCUCUGGUUCCGCAGAGAUCUAUGGAUCUCUGGUCCAUAGUAACUCUAGUCGUGAUCCAAUACCCUGGAAUUAUUAUGAAAGGCAAGCCCAAGGGGAAAGGAAUUCAUGGCCACUUUGCAGAGAGACUCUUGUAGGAAAGAGGAAAUGGGGGCUCUCUUGAGCAUGGGCAUCAUGACACUGGCCAGGUAAGACUUCUCUUUGGGCUAGUGUGGUAGAAAAGACUUAGGGAUCCCUCCCCACGUCCCCUCUGCAAACAUAUACCCUCAGCAUGUUCUAAAGGAUUUUUAUUUGCUAUUCAUGUUUUGUUUGAUAUGACUUCAAGUUCUUACACAAGCAGCAUGAAUUGUCCACAACAUCUCCUUAUUUUGUUCUGUAGAGAUAAACCCAACUUUCCCCCUUCCUGGGACAUUACAGCAUAACCCACAUGACAAUUUAGUAAAGCCCAGUUACAAUCACGUCUCAUCCAGCUACCUCCAAGGUGGAAGAGCUCCUUGGGACUUCGCAGUUAUAACGUCCACGUGUUUUUCUCUUCUUUUUAAAUAUAACAUUCCGGUCCUGUACAGAGGCACCAAUUAUGUUUAUUUUCACUGAGAUAGCUCAUGCCUGUAAUUUCAAUCAAGUACCUAAGGGGUUCUUGGUCCUGAUAAAUAAAUACCUAUGGUUGUUG
ensembl:lncRNA